AAGGCAGUGACCUCAGCCCUCCCAACUGUGGCAGCGGCGGCGGCCCUGUCUGGCCUGGCAGUGCGACUGUCACGUGGGGCGGAGACACGCAGCUCCUACGGUGCGUUCUGCAAGGGGCUCACGCGCACGCUACUCACCUUCUUCGACCUAGCCUGGCGCCUGCGCGUGAACUUCCCCUACUUCUACAUGGUGGCCUCGGUGAUGCUCAACGUCCGCCUGCAGUGCGGAUCGAGUGAGCAAACGCCCUCCGCCACGGCGGAGAGGGCCAUCCGCGCCUUCCGCGCCAUCCUGGCGGCCGCAGGAAGGACAGCGGGGCGCACAGUGCCUCCAGACUGCGGCGGGGAGAGCAAGCGGCACAGCCAGGGCCCCUCCAUUUUAGGUCUCUGCGAAAGGCCUGAGAAACCGCAUCCCAAACCGCAAAUCCUUCACAGCCCAGUCCUUUUCCUCUGCAUCCAGAGAAUCACCAGAGUCUGGCAAACCUGUUGCCUCCCCAUUGGCCGAAAGCAGGGGAGCCCCCAAAAAGGGAUGAUUUACCAGGCACUAAGAAGGGCCUUUCUGGUGAGCCCAGAGGGGUGAGGUGGCUCAGGUCACCUGGUCCCUCCACAGAAAAGGGUGGACACUUGGACACUGAUAUCUCCUGGCAACACUGUGAGGGAGAUGUGUUCUCCCACCUCAUGAACUCCAUGGGGCUCAAGGAAGUGCCUGGGGUUUGCCCUUGUUACACAGAGAAGAGAGCUCAGCCUGCCCUGGACCGGCAUUCCUCCACCCUUUCUGCAGUUUCUUCAUGACCUGGCAGGACAUUGGGGUUGGGAGGGAGUGGAGAGCUAGCAAGGGACCUAGGGAGAAAGAGGGGGCGUGAGAUAGACGAGCUAGGCAUCUGCAUUUCCUUGGGGUGGUCUGGAAGACAGGUGAACAGUUGAUUUCAUAAACAGAGGGGAAGACUCAAGAAUUUUCUAAAAUGUGUAGUCCCCUACCAGAACCAACCCCCCCCCCCAACUUGACUGGUGCUUGACCGAGGGCUCCUGAGCACUUGUGUGCUAGGAGACUGCAGUGAGGAUGGCAUUGUGGUUUAUAGGGUCAUGAUGUCACUGGAAGGUUGAGGAGAUGUGGGCUGAGACCCAUGCUAUGGCCCUGUUUCCAGGCUUGCAGGCCUGUCCCUGGCAUCACAUGGGAAACCUCAUCCAGGAGGCCCUCUGUAGGCUAGAAGUUGUGAUCUCUAAAUGACCAAGGACAGCUCAAGGGAUACUUUUACUUCUUAUCCCACACUCCCCCAGCUCCUCUGGUACUGGUAUCUCAAGGUCUAUGCAUUCCAUUCCUGAUAUGGAAACCUUCAGCAUGCCAGCCAGCCCCAGGGACAGAGUGGCCCAACUGCCCACUCCGAGUCAUGGACCCAGAUGAANNNNNNNNNNNGUCUCCCCCAAAGGGCACAAGCUGAAAGGUGGCUGCCACAUGGCCUCUGCUACUCACCAUAGGGCAGGACUGAUGGCUUCCUUCUCCCAAGUUUCACUAGUAGUCCACGUAUGUAUAUUGGAAUGUGUGUGCGCACGGGCUUGUAUAUAAAUGUGUGUGAUGGGGGUGGAUCCAUUGGGUAGGGAGAGAAGCUCCUGAGAAUCCCCUGUGUUCCAAGUACAGGAAGGAUCACAUGGACUACUGGGAGAAAUGAGUGUGAGGUCCGAGGCCCCUUCCUCUUAGACCUCACACUACAGGGAAGCCCAUCCCUGGCCAUGCUCAGGCAUGGGCUAUGGUGUGAGAUCAGAGGCACUGAUAUUAGGUAGACUUUGGGGCCAGUGGUGUCAGCCAGGACAGGGCAGAGCUAGGACUCAGCAGUGAGUUCAUGUCCCAUUCUGGCCCUGAUUAGUCUGUGACUUCUGCUUUCCCAUCCCCUCAGCUACUUUUGGUCUUCCAUGGUGCCCUCGCUGUAUGAUAUCAUGGUGCACUCUAUUUGCAGUCUAUACUGCAGGCAGGCAGCGGAGCUUCAACAAAUUCAGACUUAACCUGGAUGACCUGANNNNNNNNNNNNNNNNNNNNNNNNNNNNNNNNNNNNNNGCAUGGUCAGCGCUGUCCGGUCAGAGAUGUGGUUUCUGAAGUUGUCACAUGUUGUUUUCUC
ensembl:processed_transcript